rnacentral:rRNA from 1 species
UCCGUAGGUGAACCUGCGGAAGGAUCAUUACCGAACCGUCAAACACGGGUUGUUGCUGGCCCUCGAACGGGGGCAUGUGCACGCUCUGUUUACACAUCCACUCCACACCUGUGCACCCUCUGUAGCUCUACGGUCUGGGGGGACCUCGUCCUCCCUCUGUGGUUCUACGUUUUUACACACACGCCGUAACGAUGUCUUGUGGAAUGCUUUCUGCGUUUAACGCGAUAUAAUACAACUUUCAGCAACGGAUCUCUUGGCUCUCGCAUCGAUGAAGAACGCAGCGAAAUGCGAUAAGUAAUGUGAAUUGCANAAUUCAGUGAAUCAUCNAAUCUUUGAACGCACCUUGCGCCCCUCGGCCAUUCCGUGGGGCAUGUCUGUUUGAGUAUCAUGAACACCUCAACUCUCAUGGUUCGCCACGAANAGCUUGGUUCUGGAGGUUUGCCGGCCACAUGGUCCGCUCCUCUCAAGUGAAUCAGCUUGCCAGUGUCUGGUGGCGUCAUGGGUGUGAUAACCAUCUACGCUCACGGCCGUCUGCCAGGUAACCUCCAUCGCUGGAGGUUCGCUGGAGCUUACAAACGUCUCUCCUUAGCGGGGACACCUUUUGAACGUUCGAUCUCAAAUCAGGUAGGACUACCCGCUGAACUUAAGCAUAUCAAUAAGCGGAGGA